AAGUGAAUAUUUCUGGUUAAUGUAGUUAUAAAUUAUUUUGAGUUUUAAUAAUUAAUUAUUAGGUGAAAUUUUAUUUUAUUUAUUUGCUCUUAAUUUUGAACCUAUGAAAUUUAUAAAAUAGACUAGGAUUAGAUACCCUAUUAUUUUAAAUGUAAAUUUUGUUUUACCUGGGUAUUAUUAGUUAAGGUCUUUAAACCCAAAGAAUUUGGCGGUAUUUCAUUCCAUUCAGAGGAACCUAUCUCAUGAUUGAUAGUACACGAUUUACUUUACUUAAUUUAUUUGUUUGUAUAUCUCCGUUAAUCAGAAAAUCUUUUUGGAGAAAAAAUUUUCUUGUUUUUUUAUUAAAAUUUAUUUCAGGUCAAGGUGCAGCUUAUAAUUAAGUGUAUGAUGGGUUACAAUAAUUUUUUUUUAUUAUGGAUUUAAUUUUGAAAUAUUUUAAUGAAGGUGGAUUUGAUAGUAAUUUAAAUUAUUUAAUUUAACUGAUAUUGGCUCUGAAGUGUG
rnacentral:rRNA from 1 species